rnacentral:rRNA from 1 species
GAUGAACGCUGGCGGCGUGCUUAACACAUGCAAGUCGAACGGAAAGGCCCAAGCUUGCUUGGGUACUCGAGUGGCGAACGGGUGAGUAACACGUGGGUGAUCUGCCCUGCACUUCGGGAUAAGCCUGGGAAACUGGGUCUAAUACCGGAUAGGACCACAUUUUGGAUGGUGUGGUGGAAAGUUUUUCGGUGUGGGAUGAGCUCGCGGCCUAUCAGCUUGUUGGUGGGGUAAUGGCCUACCAAGGCGUCGACGGGUAGCCGGCCUGAGAGGGUGUACGGCCACAUUGGGACUGAGAUACGGCCCAGACUCCUACGGGAGGCAGCAGUGGGGAAUAUUGCACAAUGGGCGCAAGCCUGAUGCAGCGACGCCGCGUGGGGGAUGACGGCCUUCGGGUUGUAAACUCCUUUCGCUAGGGACGAAGCGCUAUGUGACGGUACCUGGAGAAGAAGCACCGGCUAACUACGUG